UCCGGCGACCAUAGUGCAGUAGUUCUACCUGACUCCAUACCGAACUCAGAAGUAAAAUGCUGUAAUGCCGAUGGUAGUGUGGGGCUU
rnacentral:rRNA from 1 species